rnacentral:tRNA from 1 species
UAGAAUAGUAUUUAAAAACUAUAAAAUCUAAAUUGCACCUAGACAUUGCAUAAGCCUAUUCUAU